rnacentral:misc_RNA from 1 species
CUGACGCAUUACGCAGGGCGGGGG